rnacentral:rRNA from 1 species
UACGAAGGGGGCUAGCGUUGUUCGGAAUCACUGGGCGUAAAGCGCUCGUAGGCGGAUUUUAAGUCAGGGGUGAAAUCCCGAGGCUCAACCUCGGAACUGCCUUUGAUACUGGGAAUCUCGAGUCCGGGAGAGGUGAGUGGAACUGCGAAGUGUAGAGGUGAAAUUCGUAGAUAUUCGCAAGAACACCAGUGGCGAAGGGCGGACCUCGACUGGCCCGGUUACGUCGGAACCGGACUGAGGUAG